rnacentral:rRNA from 1 species
AACGAACGCUGGCGGCGCGUCUUAAGCAUGCAAGUCGAACGGCAUGAGGAAGCUUGCUUCCUCAGAGAGUGGCGGACUGGUGAGUAACACGUGGAUAAUCUACCUGCAACACCGGGAUAACGCUGUGAAAACGGUGCUAAUACCGGAUACGUUCCCUUGUGCGCAUGUAUGAGGGAAGAAAGCUCAGGCGGUUGCAGAUGAGUCCGCGGCUGAUUAGCUAGUUGGUGAGGUAAAGGCUCACCAAGGCGACGAUGGGUAGCCGGCCUGAGAGGGUGAACGGCCACACUGGGACUGAGACACGGCCCAGACUCCUACGGGAGGCAGCAGUAGGGAAUCUUCCGCAAUGGGCGCAAGCCUGACGGAGCGACGCCGCGUGAGUGAUGAAGGCCUUCGGUCGUAAGCUCUGUUCUUGUAGGACGAAUAAGCCAGGGAGUGGAAAGCCCUGGUGAUGACUGUACUCAAGGAGAAAGCUCCGGCUAACG